rnacentral:lncRNA from 1 species
AUGUUUGCAGACAUCACCAAAUGGCCCCUAGAAAGAUUGCCUCUCCUCCACGCUGCUCCCUUCCCAGGGACUUUGCACCUCCCAGCCCUCCCUGAGGAGCCUCUCCCGGCCUCCCUUGCCUCUUCACCAUCCUUCAGACCUCAGCUCGAUGGUGACUUUUCAAUGUCAGCCAUUCUGACAAUCACAACUCAUCAUGUCCACAAAACAAGCUGCUCUGUGCACCGGGCUCUGAGACGCGGAGACAGCAAGGCCCCCAUCCUGCUCUUGUGGGCUCCAGCCAGCGUCCAGCCAGACACGAGGGAGCAUCUGGAUGGACGUUGUGAGGGCCACGCUGGCUGGACGAGAGGGCCUGGCGGGGCCACCCCACUGUGGUCAGAGAAGCCUUCUCUGAGGACGGGCGACUUCCUGUUCUCCAGGCAAUGAACAACUGGAAGGGCAUGCCAGGCCAAGGGAACAGAACGACGGGCAUGCUGAGGCUGGGGAGACGCAUGGGAUCCUUGAGGAACUGGGCGGGGGGCAGUCAGGGAGGUUGAAAAGUGGGUGUCAACAGAAAGAGAGCAGCUUCAGAGGGGGGCCGAGGAGGGGGAAGCGGCCUUACAGUAGGAGGCCCAGAUGGGCCAUUCUCAGAGUGCCAGGAGAGGCUACCAGCCCUUCCCCUGGCGGGGUGGUGGUGGGGAGGUUG